rnacentral:lncRNA from 10 species
CUCUCAACCUGGGCAAUUUUUCCCUCCAGGUACACUUGCCAACAGCUGGACACAGUUUUGGUUGUCACAACUGGGCUGGUGAUGCUUGAGCCAUGGCAGCCACUGGAAACCUCAAGGCAAAGGCCAGAGAAUCUCAGAGAUGCAGAGACAGAGGCCUGACAUUCUAGAGCUAGAGAGUAAACCAAAUUAGAGUUGUCUUUUCUGGGCUUCUUGUUAAGUCUACUGGGGUUCAUCCCAUCUGAGCCAGGCCUGGCUUUUCUUGGCUGCAAGCUGAGAGCUGGGUCCAGGUCUGCUGAACCAAGGUUCUCCCAUCUUCCUUGAGCCAGUGACAAUCAGAGGCCUAUUUCUUUCAUGACGGAAGGCAGGAGAACAAGCAGGCAAGACCAGCUGUGCUAGCACAUGGCACCCCUUUCCCACAUCACACCUGCUAACAUCCCAUUGUUCAAAGCAAGUAACACAACCAAACCCAAUAUCAACAGGACAAGAAAACAGACUCCACCUCUAGGUG